CAGCCAAGUCGUGAGGCGGAGCUAAUCCCUUAAAGCCAUCCUCAGUUCGGAUUGUAGGCUGAAACUCGCCUACAUGAAGCUGGAGUUACUAGUAAUCGCAGAUCAGAAUGCUGCGGUGAAUGCGUUCCCGGGUCUUGUACACACCGCCCGUCACACCACGGAAGUUGGGGGCGCCCGAAGCCACUUAGCUAACCCAUUUGGGAAGCGAGUGUCGAAGGUGAAAUCAAUAACUGGGGUGAAGUCGUAACAAGGUACC
rnacentral:rRNA from 1 species